AGAAAAAGAAGAAGAAAAAAGAAAAAAAAUACCCAAGAAUUUUUUUCCUACUUUUCCCUCGUUUUACCACAGCUUUUACUCUCUUUGGAUUGCUGUUGAGUUUGUUUCACACUGCAUGUGAUGU
rnacentral:ribozyme from 1 species